CCUACGGGGGGCAGCAGUGAGGAAUAUUGGUCAAUGGACGAGAGUCUGAACCAGCCAAGUAGCGUGAAGGAUGACUGCCCUAUGCGUUGUAAACUUCUUUUAUAAAGGAAUAAAACGAGGCACGUGUGCCUUUUUGCAUGUACUUUAUGAAUAAGGAUCGGCUAACUCCGUGCCAGCAGCCGCGGUAAUACGGAGGAUCCGAGCGUUAUCCGGAUUUAUUGGGUUUAAAGGGAGCGUAGAUGGGUUGUUAAGUCAGUUGUGAAAGUUUGCGGCUCAACCGUAAAAUUGCAAUUGAUACUGGCAGUCGUGAGUACAGUUGAGGUAGGCGGAAUUCGUGGUGUAGCGGUGAAAUGCUUAGAUAUCACGAAGAACCCCGAUUGCGAAGGCAGCUUACUAAACUGUGACUGACAUUGAUGCUCGAAAGUGUGGGUAUCAAACAGGAUUAGAUACCCCGGUAGUC
rnacentral:rRNA from 1 species